UGCAAUAUCUGUAUUAUAAUCAGCCUUUUUAGUAUCUAUUUUUUUCUUCAGAAAGAAAAUCAAAUCCACUGUGACACUGAAGUCCUAUGACAGUGGAAUUCUACUGGAAAAUAAAAUGCGAGGAGAUGCUGGAUCCAAAUUCAGAGAUGAGUUACUGUGAAAAUCUGGACCCUACAUUUUUACUUUGGCAGUCUGCUGAACUAGAAUCACAUCCAUACACUGCUGAGUCAUCCCAUUGUCAGUUAUGGGUCUGAAUCUGCUCUCACGUGCUCCAGUCUGAAUCGGAAGUAAUUCCACUGAACUCAAGCAACCUAACACCAGUUUAAGGGAAAGGAGAAUCAGGGUGAUCAUGUUUGCGGGAUUCAAUCUCAAAUGUGUUACUCCAAUUUUGCUCCAGCUUAACUCCAUUCACAUCAUUGGAAUUACAACAGCUAAAAGUGGUGUUACAGAGUGUUGACUGUGGCCCUGUAUGUGUAUGUUCUGUGUUAAUAGAAAUCUGUCAAGACCUGUUAAUGUACUGAUCACAGAUAUGGACCUGCAAAUCCUUUCCACAAUUGUUACCUCCGAUAUUAAUAAUUUAUCAUUUUAAAAAUGUGAAUUAAUUUAUAUUUAAAGAG
rnacentral:lncRNA from 1 species